rnacentral:rRNA from 1 species
UACGUAGGGGGCAAGCGUUGUCCGGAUUUACUGGGCGUAAAGCGCGCGUAGGCGGAACUUCAAGUCCGGUCUGAAAGCCCCCGGCUCAACCGGGGAGGGUGGCUGGAAACUGGGGUUCUUGAGGGCGAGAGAGGAGGGUGGAAUUCCUGGUGUAGCGGUGAAAUGCGUAGAGAUCAGGAGGAACACCAAUAGCGAAGGCAGCUCGCUGGGACGUUACUGACACUGAGGCGCGAAAGCGUGGGGAGCGAACAGG